CAGCCGCCGCGGUAAAACCAGCACCUCGAGUGGUCAGGAGGUUUAUUGGGCCUAAAGCAUCCGUAGCCGGUUGCAUAAGUUUUCGGUUAAAUCUAUGCGCUUAACGUAUAGGCCGCCGAAAAUACUGUGCAGCUAGGGAGUGGGAGAGGUACACGGUACUCGAUAGGAAGGGGUAAAAUCCUUUGAUCUAUUGAUGACCACCUGUGGCGAAGGCGGUGUACCAGAACACGUUCGACGGUGAGGGAUGAAAGCUGGGGGAGCAAACCGGAUUAGAUACCCCAGUAGUCCCUGUCUCUUAUAC
rnacentral:rRNA from 1 species